rnacentral:lncRNA from 1 species
CUAGAGCUGAGAAGCCAACUAUCUCCAAACUGGGUGGUGUAAAACUACAGCAAUCAUUUAUUUUGUUUAUGAUUAUCAAUUUGGGCAGAGAUCAGAGGAGGACAAGAAGUUUCUGCUCCAUGUGGCCUGGAGGUGUGGCCUGACCAGGGCUAGAGGAUUCUCUUUCAGUAUGGCUCACUCACAUGGCUGGCGAGUUUUUGCUGGCCACCAUCUGAGAUCUUUGGUUCCCCCUGUAUCCCCACAGGCCCUUAGGCUUCCCCAGAGGGUGGGGAAGCUAUUGGUACUGGCCUCAUUCCUGUGAGUCUAGAACAUAAUGAGCCAUGAAAGAUGGGCUGCUGGGUUCCAUCAUGGCUUGGUUCUAAGAAUGCACAUCCCCAGAUGGGCAUUGUGUUGCCUUGUAUGACAUAGCACAGAUGUCACUGAACAUAAUUUCCAUCACAGUCAUAAAGACACUCAGAUUCAAGAGGCAGGGGCAGAGGUGACAUCUCAGUGGGAGUAAGAGUUAAAGUAAGUGUAAGAGGGCCAAGUGGGUUGGGAAGUACUACUGCAAAAGUCUUUAGAAGAUAAAAUCUUCCAUGGCUUCUCUGAGGAGGUUCUCUGGACAGCUCUGGGACAUUGUCAUUGGUGUUGGUGUUGUGGAGACUUUGCCUGGAAGCUGGAUGGUUAGAGUGGAAAGAACUCAGAAAAGCAGCUUCACUGCAAUAAGAUGUGAUUUUAGCAAAACUUUGAAACUCCAUGGAUCAUAAUAUCCUCAUCUGUUUGGAGAAAACAAAAACAAGUUGAGUGAUUGAUUUCAAUUCCAGAUGGUCCUCAACUUACAAUGAUUUCAUUUAUGAUUUUUUGACUUCAUGAUUGUGUGAAAGUGAUGCCACUGAUGCUACUCUGAGUUGGGGAUUGUAAUUUUCCCUAGGCAAGAGAUAUGUUAUAAAAUAUACUCUCUGGAGAUUCUGGGCAGCAGCAGAGAGCCAUAGCUCUUGGUCAGCAAGGCAAUUAAGAGGGGAAACAAUUGAUACGGUACUGUGUGCUGUGUUACUAAGCCAGGAUGUACAGUAUGUUACGUACAUGAAGUACAUUUUUGACUUGCAAUAUCUUCAAUGUACAAUAGACUUACCAAGACAUGACUCCCUCAUAAGCCAAGGAACAUCUCUGUUGUAUUUCAGCUCCCAAUUUUAAAAGUAAGGCAAUAUGAGUGGCUGUCAAGGGCAUUUUGUAGCCUUUGAGGAGGACUUGGCUGUGUUUUCCAGAAUAUAUAGUAAGUUGCCACCUUACCACCAUGAGUUGUGAAUUUUCUCAGGUGUACUGUAAAAGACUCACAGGUGUACUGUAUAAGAUUCCCUUUGUCCGGAUUAUGAACAAAUCCAAUUUGCCAACUUUCUCCCAGUACAGAACUCCUUUGUGAGUCUGAGACUUAAUGUAUCUCAGUCAGAGGAAAGUCUAAAUGUAAGACAAUCAAGCAAUGUGUUUUUUUCUCAUCAAGGAACUAGAAAAAGAAAAAGAACCUCUAGUGCCCGAAGUUAGGAGUGGGAAGACGAGAAUUCAAUCCCUGGUUUGGAGUGAGAAGAGUAUUUUCAGAACUCAUUGACUAUGGGAGAGUUCACUGGAAAUGCUUUUCUGUAAUGUCUGAAUUUAUUUUUUAUAACAUGAAUGUUUCAGGCAACAGAGUUUAAAAGAGAAGAUGGCUUUCAUCUACUUACUUAUUUCAAAGUCUAUUUAUCCUGAAACAUUCUAUGUUAAGAACCAUUUCUGUAAUGUUUGGAGUUCUUGCAUGAAAAUUAGGAAGUGAGCUCUUAAACAUUUUUUAAACAUACCUUUGAUUUUGUUUUGUUUUAGGUCAGGUCUUAUCACAAUGAGAUGCAUACAUGCUUCAAAAUCAGAAACCUAUAUAUUUAAUUUGCAAUAAUCCUAUAAUUAUAGAUUUGAGGGAAAGUUAAAAUUGCUUAUAAUUGAGGAGAGGUUGACCAGUGAACUGUGCCUUUCUUUCUUUCACUCUCUGUUAGAAGUAAGCCCCACCUGAGCCUUAGAACUCCUGGAAGAAGCUCUUUUAAGAUGCUUUUGUGGUAAGAAUAGGCAAAGAGCAAAGGUCUAAGUUAAUGUUUGGUAUUGACCCCUAGGUCUUUGUUCUCAUUCUAGAGUUAAUACUAAUUUAACAUUUUUCUAGUGGCAUUCAUCGAGACCAUUUAAUUGAGCAGGUUCUAAAUUCUGCCAUGGUUGAAGUAAGGGUUCUACUAUGUUCUCUAGCAUUGUGUCUACUCACAGUGUGACCUUGGGGGAGUCAUUUCAGCCCUCUGAACUUCAUUUUUCUCAUAUGUAAAAUGUGGU